GGCUCACUCCGGGGUCAGAUGACCUUGGUCCACACCCUGGCUUUCCUCCUCAUUAGCUGGGUGAACUUGCUUCUUGACUUCUCUCAUUAGUCAAACGUGGAUAUGAAGAGCAUUUUCUUUUUCGCUUUGCUGUAAGGCUUUAAUGCGAUAACCUACAUGAAGCAUCUGGCAUGUAGGAUGUACACAAGAAAUCUCCCUGAUGAUGAUGCGCAAAACGUCUAGAGGGGAGAUUUUGCAUUUGGUAGGAUGCUAAGAUCCUCGUUAGGGUGUUCCAUCAGUAGUUGGAGAAGAGUGUUGUUUUCCUACACAUCAACAUGUGCUCCUGCCUGGUGACAUUUAUAGUUUUUGGCUGUCCAUCAUCUAACCCUCACUUCCUAAUGGCACCUGUCACUUUCCCUUUCAGGAGCCACACACCUGGGUGGAGUCGUGUGUGGGGCCCCAAAGGGCCAAACCCCAGCUCUGUCCUCAAUGGGGGUCGGGCACAUGCCUUUGGUUUGGCCAAUUCAGCUCUCCUGGAAAUGGUCUCUGAUCCCUCUCUCUGGACUCCUAUUAGGAAUACUUCUUCACUGCUUACACAGGAAGUUUCCUGAAAGUUCCAAGAUUUCUACACCAGCCUCCAAGAUAUUGAGGAGGGAUGACUAGGAAUAAGACAAGAGUGUACCGAGUUCUGUGUUGGCUUUUUGGAGUUGGGAACGAUUUGUAGAUGUGGAACCACAGGUGGAAAAAAGCCCAUGGCAGCAAUAUGGCCCAGAAAUCCCUGGGCGGCUGCUCCUGAAGCAGGAUCCCCCCGGGGAGACAAGGUAGUGUCGUCAGAGGGAACAACGUGUAGACAGGCCUGAGUUCUGUCCACUCACUGAAGACCCGGAUGUGGGAGAUCGCUCUCCCUGAAUUGUGAGCCCACACCCCUGCAGGCUUUCCGUCUCUCACGUUGCUCACACUGUGCCACGGUGCUGUCUGACGACGGAAACUGUGAUAAAACUGUGUUCGGAGUGUUUAUCCUUUAUUUAUGAUUUAAGAUAUUUCCAGGAAUUAUGGAAUAGGAGGAUAUGUUACUACCCAGCAAUAUUCUUUAAAACAAAAUGCUUAGGGAAUUUAUAAAAAUUUGCCUGGAUCUUUGCCUUACAAAUGGAAUGGCAGAAAGGCUAGUGCAUCAAUUAGGCAAGUUUCCACCCUGUACAUAGAGCAACGCUACUGACACCACUGGGGUCAGGGCACGUGUGGUGAGCAGCUUUUGAGUCGUAGGAGGGCUUACGUGAUCCAUCUGCACUACUGACCUCUAGUUAAGAUGCGGUCAUCCAACUGACCAGCAAACUUCUACUGAUAGCUACUAUAUGCCAGGUACUAUGCGACACAGCGGGGAUACUGACUGGAGUAAGACACGGCCCUUUAUGCUCAACGAGAUGAUAUCCACUAGGGGGAGCCAAAUACAUACGUAAGAGUGAUAACCAGUGGAAGGUGCUGGGAUAGUCUGUGUGGAAGGUGUCGGGGGUGGGGGCGGGUAUCAGAAAGAAAUGGGCAAAUCUGGCCCAGGAUUGGUCAGGAAAAGUCUUCAGAGGGAAGGUACCCCUGGCACACGUUUCUGAGGCUCCUUACCCAGAAUAAGGAGGCUGCAGAGGUGAGCAUGGACAGUUAGGCUUCUGUAUGAUGCUAACUGCAGUGACCGAAGGUGAGACCUUUGGGCUGGGCCUUCUGAGUCACGCACACGCUCCAUCUCA